GAUGAACGCUGGCGGCGUGCCUAAUACAUGCAAGUCGAGCGGACGGACGAGAAGCUUGCUUCUCUGAUGUUAGCGGCGGACGGGUGAGUAACACGUGGAUAACCUACCUAUAAGACUGGGAUAACUUCGGGAAACCGGAGCUAAUACCGGAGAAUAUUUUGAACCGCAUGGUUCAAAAGUGAAAGACGGUCUUGCUGUCACUUAUAGAUGGAUCCGCGCUGCAUUAGCUAGUUGGUAAGGUAACGGCUUACCAAGGCAACGAUGCAUAGCCGACCUGAGAGGGUGAUCGGCCACACUGGAACUGAGACACGGUCCAGACUCCUACGGGAGGCAGCAGUAGGGAAUCUUCCGCAAUGGGCGAAAGCCUGACGGAGCAACGCCGCGUGAGUGAUGAAGGUCUUCGGAUCGUAAAACUCUGUUAUUAGGGAAGAACAUAUGUGUAAGUAACUGUGCACAUCUUGACGGUACCUAAUCAGAAAGCCACGGCUAACUACGUG
rnacentral:rRNA from 1 species